AACGAACGCUGGCGGCAUGCCUAACACAUGCAAGUCGAACGAGACCUUCGGGUCUUGUGGCGCACGGGUGCGUAACGCGUGGGAACCUGCCCUUAGGUUCGGAAUAACUCCCCGAAAGGGGUGCUAAUACCGGAUAAUGUCUUCGGACCAAAGAUUUAUCGCCUUUGGAUGGGCCCGCGUUGGAUUAGCUAGUUGGUAGGGUAAAAGACUACCAAGGCGACGAUCCAUAGCUGGUCUGAGAGGAUGAUCAGCCACACUGGGACUGAGACACGGCCCAGACUCCUACGGGAGGCAGCAGUGGGGAAUAUUGGACAAUGGGCGAAAGCCUGAACCAGCAAUGCCGCGUGAGUGAUGAAGGCCGUAGGGUUGUAAAGCUCUUUUACCCGGGAUGAUAAUGACGGUACCGGGAGAAUAAGCUCCGGCUAACUCCGUG
rnacentral:rRNA from 1 species